rnacentral:siRNA from 1 species
GAUCGUGGACCGUCUGAUUAAGUC